rnacentral:rRNA from 1 species
AGGACAAACGCUGGCGGCGUGCCUAAGACAUGCAAGUCGGACGGGAAGCUUCGGCUUCUAGUGGCGGACGGGUGAGGAGCGCGUGGAUGACCUGCCCCGUGAUGGGGGAUACCAGUCAGAAAUGGCUGUUAAGACCGCAUGAGACCCGCUGGUGCGAGUUGGUGGGGGAAAGCCGGCAACGGCGUCAGUGGGAGGGGUCCGCGUCGGAUUAGCUAGUUGGUGGGGUAAAAGCCUACCAAGGCGACGAUCCGU